UGGGGAAUCUUGCGCAAUGGGCGGAAGCCUGACGCAGCGACGCCGCGUGCGGGACGAAGGCCUUCGGGUCGUAAACCGCUUUCAGCAGGGACGAGGCCCUCACGGUGACGGUACCUGCAGAAGAAGCCCCGGCUAACUACGUGCCAGCAGCCGCGGUAAUACGUAGGGGGCGAGCGUUAUCCGGAGUCAUUGGGCGUAAAGCGCGGGUAGGCGGCCUGUUAGGUCGGGGGUCAAAUACCGGGGCGCAACCCCGGUCCGCCCCCGAUACCGGCAGGCUUGAGUCUGGUAGGGGAAGGCGGAAUUCCCAGUGUAGCGGUGGAAUGCGGAGAUAUUGGGAAGAACACCGGCGGCGAAGGCGGCCUUCUGGGCCACGACUGACGCUGAGGCGCGAAAGCUAGGGGAGCGAACAGG
rnacentral:rRNA from 1 species